CCUACGGGAGGCAGCAGUGGGGAAUAUUGCACAAUGGGGGAAACCCUGAUGCAGCGACGCCGCGUGAAGGAAGAAGUAUCUCGGUAUGUAAACUUCUAUCAGCAGGGAAGAAAAUGACGGUACCUGACUAAGAAGCCCCGGCUAACUACGUGCCAGCAGCCGCGGUAAUACGUAGGGGGCAAGCGUUAUCCGGAUUUACUGGGUGUAAAGGGAGCGUAGACGGAUGGGCAAGUCUGAUGUGAAAACCCGGGGCUCAACCCCGGGACUGCAUUGGAAACUGUUCAUCUAGAGUGCUGGAGAGGUAAGUGGAAUUCCUAGUGUAGCGGUGAAAUGCGUAGAUAUUAGGAGGAACACCAGUGGCGAAGGCGGCCUGCUGGACUGUUACUGACACUGAGGCACGAAAGCGUGGGGAGCAAACAGGAUU
rnacentral:rRNA from 1 species